rnacentral:lncRNA from 1 species
GAUCAUCUGACUGUAAGAUAGGGAGUGUAUACAGGUGUGCCCAGUAUAAUCACCACGUUCCCUAAAGGUGGAAGAGGGAGGCAGGAGAGAGGAUGCGAGUGAAGAGAUGUGAGAAGGACUGAACCGGUCAUCACUAGCUUUGAAGGUGGAGGAAAAGGGCCAAGAGACAAUGAAAGCAGGUGGCCUCUAGGAGCUGGAAAAUUCAAGGAAAUGGAUUCUUUCCUAGAGACUCCAGGAAGGAACACAGCCCUGCCAACCCCUUGAUUUUAGCCCAAAUGAGACCCAUCUGAGACUUCUGACCUCCAGAACCGCUGUGAAGAGAGGAAGUAAUUUUGAAGGACAACAUGGGCAUUGUCCCUGAGAGGGGAGAAGCUAUGAGUUGCCAGCAGUCUGGGUAAUUCACAGAGAAACCCUCUGUCUGGACCAGUCCCAGAUCUUCAGCCUCUAGCCCAUGCCUGGAAUUGGCAAAUACCUCUGGGAAAGGAAACUGCAGAUUCUCAGUUCACUUGUAAAAGUCUCUCUCUCCUCUUAGUUUCUGGAAUUUUACUCCCUCUAGUAAUGCUUGCUUUUGCAGUGCUCUGAAGCCUUAGAAAAUGUGACUUUAAAAAGCGUAUCUGGAUUUUGUAGUUGUUCUCAGUGGGAACAUUUUUCUGCCAUGCAGUCCAUUAUACUGAGAAGCAGAAGCAUACCUUAUUUUUGUCCAUUUGAUCUGACUUCACUGAGAGAAAGGAGACAAAGUUUCCCACUGCUGUUUCCACCUGGUUCUCCUUUGCCUCACACAAUUUGUUUUUAUCAACAUUGCUGCUACAUUGUUAGUACAGAGUUAUUCAUAACUGUUACAUUCUCAUUUUGGUAUGUAUGCAUUAUAAACUAACUUUAUUAUUUCUUUUUGGCCUGAAUUCUACCUUCUCUAAUGUUGUAUUGCAACCACUACUUUCUUCUUGUUUGCAUUUUCCUGCUAUAUCUUUGUUCAUCUUUUUUUAUCUUAACUUUUCUGAAUAAUUUUAUUUUCAGGGUUACUCUUAUAGAGAGCCUAAUAGUUGGGUUUGUGACAUAGAUUUGUGACUCAAUCAAUCAGAAAAUCAAUCUUUUUCCUUUGCUAGGUAAAUUAAAUCUACAUUUAUUGGUAUGAUUAAUUUUAGUUCUAUAAUGUUAUAUAUGUAACAUUUUUAAAGUCUCUUCUAUGUGGUCUCUUUCUUUUGUUUAGUGGCUAUAUAAUUAUAUCUUUAUUUAAUACCUUUUCCUCUUUUUUCUUUAGAAUCAUAUCUACAAUUUUUCUAAUAUGAGCAGCGUAAAAUUAGCUUGUAUUCUCUGCUUCCCCUUCAUUCCUUGCCCUCCAUCAUGCAAUUUUAGUCAGUAAUAUCGCCUUUUUUAGUGUUGACUUUUGUAUUGUUAAGUAUAUUAUACUUCUAAAACAUGAUUUUUCAACUUUAAAUGUCUCAGUUUUUAUAUUAUAGAUGGCGUCAGUGAGAUUAUUCUUUUCUCCACUUUCACUCCCUCUAUCCAUUUUUUUAGUUUUAUCUUUUUUAAGUUGUCGGAUCAUAUGCCACUUCUAUUCUAUUCUGUGAUCCUUGUUUUUACCUUUUCUUGGCCUUAAAUCUAUAGGCAGAUUUAUGUGAGAAGUCUUCUUGAGGUUUCCUCAGUCAUUCUUUGACUGGUGACAGUUUUUCCUCUAGCAGAUUCCAUAAGAAGCCUUCACGUGAACAUCAUUCCCUGAAUUCUGGAAUAUUCAAAGCCAUUUGAUAGUAUUAAUUGUUGAGAGGAAUGUGAUCAAAAGCUCAAUUUUGGCAAGAAUGUAAAUUGGUACAACCACUGGAAAACAAGUUUGCAACGACUCAUAGAGAUAAACAUUUGUUAUUCUGUUAUGACCCGAAAUUUCACUCCUACUCAGGAGAAACUCUCGUAUAGGUAUACCAGGAGCCACAUACAAGAGUUUUCAUAACAGUACUGUGUAUGAUAGCAAAAACGGAAUGACCAUCAAAAAGCAAAUGGAUAAGUACAUCAAAGUAUAUUCACCAAAUUGAAUUUCAUGCAUCAGUCCAAAUUAAUAAUCUACAGUCAUACUCAACAGUAUAGAUGAAUCUUAGCAAUGUGCUAUAUUUUAUUAAUUCUCAUCUUUGUCUUUUUUUUUUGCGAGGAAGAUUGCCCCUGAGCUAACAUAUGUGCCAAUCUUCCUCUGUUUUUCACAUGGGAUGCUGCCACAGCAUGGCUUGUUGAACGUUGGGUAUGUCUAUGCCCAGGAUCCAAACCCAU